AUACGGAGGGUGCGAGCGUUAAUCGGAAUUACUGGGCGUAAAGGGUCCGUAGGCGGUCUGCUUAGUCUGAUGUGAAAGCCCCGGGCUUAACCUGGGAAUGGCAUUGGAUACUGGCGGACUAGAGUCUGGUAGAGGGUGGUGGAAUUCCCGGUGUAGCGGUGAAAUGCGUAGAUAUUGGGAGGAACACCAGUGGCGAAGGCGGCCACCUGGACCAAGACUGACGCUGAGGGACGAAAGCGUGGGGAGCAAACAGGAUUAGAAACCCUAGUAGUCC
rnacentral:rRNA from 1 species